rnacentral:rRNA from 1 species
AACGAACGCUGGCGGCAGGCUUAACACAUGCAAGUCGAGCGCCCCGCAAGGGGAGCGGCAGACGGGUGAGUAACGCGUGGGAAUCUACCCAUCUCUACGGAAUAACGCAUGGAAACGUGUGCUAAUACCGUAUACGUCCUUCGGGAGAAAGAUUUAUCGGAGAUGGAUGAGCCCGCGUUGGAUUAGCUAGUUGGUGGGGUAAAGGCCUACCAAGGCGACGAUCCAUAGCUGGUCUGAGAGGAUGAUCAGCCACACUGGGACUGAGACACGGCCCAGACUCCUACGGGAGGCAGCAGUGGGGAAUAUUGCACAAUGGGCGAAAGCCUGAUGCAGCAACGCCGCGUGAGCGAAGAAGGCCUUUGGGUCGUAAAGCUCUGUCCUUGGGGAAGAAACAAAUGACGGUACCCUUGGAGGAAGCCCCGGCUAACUACGUGCCAGCCGCCGCUGUAAUAC